rnacentral:misc_RNA from 1 species
GUAAUACGCCCCGUCCUCAAGUUCGACGAUGACAUCACAGGCGUCUUUGUCGUCGUUCAUCUCCAUCCAUACGCGCGUUGGC